CAGACAUUUAGGCUACAUCUCAAACCAAUAGCAUCACUCUUCAUGGGGAAGGGCCUCAAGAUAUAUAUUGAAGUUUCCCAGGAUUCUUCAAGGAAAAUUUGGGACUUUCAUUAUGGGGUACAACUUCACUCCAUACCUCGUUAGAUAACUUUCUAUUCUUAAUGGGUAUUGUGAACAUGUCAAUGGCAUUACACGUGGCCUGCAAUAUCUAACAAUGGAUUGCUAAGAACAUGGCAGAAGGCUAUUUGAGGGUUGGGGUGAAGACAAGGGGGAAAUCAGCAAGCAGUCAGUACUACUCAAUCAAGCAGAUGGAAAUUGGGAACCGACUGCUUACUGCUAUCCCUGAAAAGAAAUGCAUCUAAGCCUCUCCCUUAGUUUAUGUUCCAGAUGAAAGAAUCUGGGAAAAGAGAAGACAGAACUAUAUUAAUACUGGCUCCUGCACAGAAGUGGCCAUAGUUCAUGGGGGAAGAGACACCAUUUCCUCCAGUACCCCUCACCCUAUACCCAUUCCUCAGUCAUACUGCAGGUAAGUUUCCUGGGUCUCCCUAACAUUCUGGCCAGAAAGAGAUAAUUGUGAAGUACGUACAGUGUUGCUCUGUUACUUCUAGUGGUUCCUCUCUGUGGAAGAGCUUUUAUUUUUAUCUCAAAAGCAUUUAUCACCCAACCAGUAUCAUUCAAAAGUCA
rnacentral:lncRNA from 1 species